rnacentral:tRNA from 2 species
AAGGCUUUAGCUUAAUUAAAGUGUCUGUUUUGCAUGCAGAAGAUGUGGGUUAGUGUCCCGCAAGCCUUA